AGAGUUUGAUCCUGGCUCAGGAUGAACGCUAGCGGGAGGCCUAACACAUGCAAGCCGAGCGGUAUUUGUCCUUCGGGACAGAGAGAGCGGCGUACGGGUGCGGAACACGUGUGCAACCUGCCUUUAUCUGGGGGAUAGCCUUUCGAAAGGAAGAUUAAUACCCCAUAAUAUAUCGAAUGGCAUCAUUCGAUAUUGAAAACUCCGGUGGAUAGAGAUGGGCACGCGCAAGAUUAGAUAGUUGGUGAGGUAACGGCUCACCAAGUCAGUGAUCUUUAGGGGGCCUGAGAGGGUGAUCCCCCACACUGGUACUGAGACACGGACCAGACUCCUACGGGAGGCAGCAGAAGGGCGAAUUCGU
rnacentral:rRNA from 1 species